UACGGAGGGAGCUAGCGUUGUUCGGAAUUACUGGGCGUAAAGCGCACGUAGGCGGCUUUGUAAGUUAGAGGUGAAAGCCUGGGGCUCAACCCCAGAAUUGCCUUUGAUACUGCAUGGCUUGAAUCCAGGAGAGGUGAGUGGAAUUCCGAGUGUAGAGGUGAAAUUCGUAGAUAUUCGCAAGAACACCAGUGGCGAAGGCGGCUCACUGGCCCGGUACUGACGCUGAGGUGCGAAAGCGUGGGGAGCAAACAGG
rnacentral:rRNA from 1 species